CGACCUUGGUAGCAGGGCUGGCUGCUCUCGUGAUUCAAGAGAACGACCUUGCACGUCUCCCAUGGAACAUGACUCCUUCGCUGGAGAUGACCUCUCAGAUGACGCAAGAUCUCUCUCAUCCUCGACUUCGUCAGAAGAAGACAUCUCAGAUGGAAGUUCAGCGGCCACCGAUUCGAUUGCAACUCAGCCUGCAAGAUCAUUUGUC